CUUCCGCAAUGGACGAAAGUCUGACGGAGCAACGCCGCGUGAGUGACGAAGGUUUUCGGAUCGUAAAACUCUGUUGUAAGGGAAGAACACAUGCCAUUUAACUGAUGGCAUCUUGACGGUACCUUACCAGAAAGCCACGGCUAACUACGUG
rnacentral:rRNA from 1 species